CGGGUGAGUAACACGUGAGUAACCUGCCCUUGACUUUGGGAUAACUUCAGGAAACUGGGGCUAAUACCGGAUAGGAGCUCCUGCUGCAUGGUGGGGGUUGGAAAGUUUCGGCGGUUGGGGAUGGACUCGCGGCUUAUCAGCUUGUUGGUGGGGUAGUGGCUUACCAAGGCUUUGACGGGUAGCCGGCCUGAGAGGGUGACCGGCCACAUUGGGACUGAGAUACGGCCCAGACUCCUACGGGAGGC
rnacentral:rRNA from 1 species